rnacentral:rRNA from 1 species
UGGGGAAUAUUGGGCAAUGGGCGAAAGCCUGACCCAGCAACGCCGCGUGAAGGAAGAAGGUUUUCGGAUUGUAAACUUCUGUCCUCAGGGAAGAAGGAAGUGACGGUACCUGAGGAGGAAGCCCCGGCUAACUACGUGCCAGCAGCCGCGGUAAUACGUAGGGGGCGAGCGUUGUCCGGAAUUACUGGGCGUAAAGGGCGUGUAGGCGGCCUUUUAAGUCAGAUGUGAAAUCUCAGGGCUUAACCCUGAAACUGCAUUUGAAACUGGAGGGCUUGAGGAUCGGAGAGGGCAGUGGAAUUCCCAGUGUAGCGGUGAAAUGCGUAGAUAUUGGGAGGAACACCAGUGGCGAAGGCGACUGCCUGGACGACACCUGACGCUGAGGCGCGAAAGCUAGGGGAGCGAACGGG